rnacentral:tRNA from 1 species
CCGGCCGUUCGCGAGCAGGCCCAGCGAGCGCGGAUUGCCGCUCGGCGGCAGGAUCCAGAGCUCGAGCGAUUUGCCGGCUUCGGCCGCCGGCAGCCGCGCC